AGCAGCCGCGGUAAUUCCAGCUCCAAUAGCGUAUAUUAAAGUUGUUGCAGUUAAAAAGCUCGUAGUUGAAUUUCGGGAUUAAUAUGUUGGUCGUGCCUUGGUACGUACUGGCAUUAUUGAUUCCUACCUUCUGAAGAACCUCGAUGUCAUUAAUUUGGUGUCUUGGGGAAUCAGGACCGUUACUUUGAAAAAAUUUAGAGUGUUUAAAGCAGGCUCGCGCUUGAAUACAUUAGCAUGGAAUAAUGAAAUAGGACGUUUGAUUCUACUUUGUUGGUUUCUAGGAUCGACGUAAUGAUUAAUAGGGAUAGUUGGGGGCAUUAGUAUUCAAUUGUCAGAGGUGAAAUUCUUGGAUUUAUUGAAGACUGACUACUGCGAAAGCAUUUGCCAAGGAUGUUUUCAUUAAUCAAGAACGAAAGUUAGGGGAUCGAAGACGAUCAGAUACCGUCGUAGUCUUAACCAUAAACUAUGCCGACUAGGGAUCGGAUGAUGUUAAUUUUUUAAUGACUCAUUCGGCGCCUUA
rnacentral:misc_RNA from 1 species